rnacentral:pre_miRNA from 1 species
AAUGGAGUAGUUGGGUCAUAUAGUUGUUCCAUUCAUUUUUUUUUUUUUUUGAGGAAUCUCCACACUGCUUUCCAAAGUGAUUGUACUAAUUUCCAGUCCUACUAACAAU